UAGGGAAUCUUCGGCAAUGGGGGCAACCCUGACCGAGCAACGCCGCGUGAGUGAAGAAGGUUUUCGGAUCGUAAAGCUCUGUUGUAAGAGAAGAACGUGUGUGAGAGUGGAAAGUUCACACAGUGACGGUAACUUACCAGAAAGGGACGGCUAACUACGUGCCAGCAGCCGCGGUAAUACGGAAGGUCCGGGCGUUAUCCGGAUUUAUUGGGUUUAAAGGGAGCGUAGGCCGGAGAUUAAGCGUGUUGUGAAAUGUAGUGGCUCAACCUCUGCACUGCAGCGCGAACUGGUCUUCUUGAGUACGCACAACGUGGGCGGAAUUCGUGGUGUAGUGGUGAAAUGCUUAGAUAUCACGAAGACUCCGAUUGCGAAGGCAGCUCGACGGGAGCGCAACUGACGC
rnacentral:rRNA from 1 species